rnacentral:rRNA from 1 species
UGCCAGCCGCCGCGGUAAUACGGAGGGUACGAACGUUAAUCGGAAUUACUGGGCGUAAAGCGCGCGUAGGCGGUUUGUUAAGUCGGAUGUGAAAGCCCUGGGCUCAACCUGGGAACUGCAUUCGAUACUGGCUGACUAGAGUGCGAGAGAGGGAGGUAGAAUUCCAUGUGUAGCGGUGAAAUGCGUAGAUAUGUGGAGGAAUACCGGUGGCGAAAGCGCUCUACUGGACCAUUACUGACACUCAGAGGCGAAAGCUAGGGUAGCAAAAGGGAUUAGAUA